CAAUAGCGUAUAUUGAAGUUGUUGCGGUUAAAAAGCUCGUCGUUGGAUUUCUGUUGAGGUCGAACAGUGCCGCCCUAUGGGUGCGCAACUGGCUCGGCUUCGGCAUCUUCUUGGAGAGCGCAUCUGCACUUAACUGUGUGGAUCGUACCUCACGUCAGUUACUUUGAGGAAUUGUGAGUGUUUCAAGCAGGCUUACGCCGUUGAAUCCGUUAGCAUGGAAUAAUAGGAUAGGACCUCGGUUCUAUUUUGUUGGUUUUGAGAGCUGGGGCAGCGAUUGAUAGGGACGGAUGGGGGCGUCCGAACCUUACUGUCAGAGGUGAAAUUCUUAGAUCGGUCAAAGGCGAACUACUGCGAACGCAUUCGCCAAGAAUGUUUUCUUUAA
rnacentral:rRNA from 1 species